UUUCUUUCUUUCUUGUCCAUCAUCAGGAAUGAGCUUAUCAUGCCAUCCUGGCCAACGAAGCUACACAGAUGCAGACCAUUACAGGAAGUAAUGGCCGAGAGACACUCUCUGCCUGGUGACUGGUGACUGGAUGGAUUAUAAACUGGCUGCAGGCUCUGCACCUGUGGCAGAGGGGACGGUGUCUGUGGAUGAGCCAACCAGCCAGGAGAGCCCAGAGACCAAGAGAAAGCUGGUGACUGCUGCAAUUGCAGUCACCUGCCAGCUGUGCCCUGACGCUGUUCUCCCCCUGAACUUUUCAUUAGGUUAGCGGGAAGGACUACUUCACAAACUGACCAACAACAACCAACGUCAACCAACCAGCCACCCCUGUCGGGUUCUCCCUGUCUCUCUCCUCCAAGCUGCUGUGCCUUCUCUCUCUGGGCUCUGCUAUUUAAACUUUCUGAGUCCAAAGAAUUGAACUAACUGGGAGCUGGAGAGAUGGCUCAGAGGUCAAGAACACUCUCUGCUCUUCCAGAGGACCUGGGUUCAACUCCCAGCACCCACAUGGCAGCUCACAACUGUUUAUAACUCCUGUUCCAGGGGAUCCAACCCCUUCCCACAU